rnacentral:rRNA from 1 species
UACGUAGGGUCCGAGCGUUGUCCGGAAUUACUGGGCGUAAAGCGUGCGCAGGCGGCCCGCGAGGUGUCACGUGAAAGCCCCGGGCUCAACCCGGGAGGGUCGUGGCAAACCGGCGGGCUUGAGGCCGGAAGAGGAGAGUGGAAUUCCCGGUGUAGCGGUGAAAUGCGCAGAUAUCGGGAAGAACACCCGUGGCUAAGGCGGCUCUCUAGUACGGUACUGACGCUGAGACGCGAAAGCGUGGGGAGCGAACAGG